rnacentral:misc_RNA from 1 species
UACGGAGGGUCCGGGCGUUAUCCGGAUUUAUUGGGUUUAAAGGGAGCGUUGGCCGGAGAUUAAGCGUGUUGUGAAAUGUAGAUGCUCUACAUCUGCACUGCAGCGCGAACUGGUUUCCUUGAGUACGCACAAAGUGGGCGGAAUUCGUGGUGUAGCGGUGAAAUGCUUAGAUAUCACGAAGUACUCCGAUUGCGAAGGCAGCUCACUGGAGCGCAACUGACGCUGAAGCUCGAAAGUGCGGGUAUCGAACAGG